AUCUGGCUAGUUUGAAUGUAAAACAGGUAGAAUAUUUAGGCCGGAUAUGGCCAUUUUGAAUACUAAAGGGAUAAACUUAAUAAAUGUUUUCGACU